rnacentral:rRNA from 1 species
UUGAUCUGAAAUCAGGUAGGGCUACCCGCUGAACUUAAGCAUAUCAAUAAGCGGAGGAAAAGAAACUAACAAGGAUUCCCCUAGUAACGGCGAGUGAAGCGGGAAGAGCUCAAAUUUAAAAUCUAGUUUGCUUGCAAACUCGAGUUGUAGUCUGAAGAAACGUUUUCCAUGAAAGCUGAGGCACAAGUCCUUUGGAACAGGGCAUCAUAGAGGGUGAGAAUCCCGUCCAUGGUCUCAAGUAUUUCAUUUUGUGAUACGUUUUCUAAGAGUCAGGUUGUUUGGGAAUGCAGCCUAAAAUGGGUGGUAAAUUUCAUCUAAAGCUAAAUAUUGGCGAGAGACCGAUAGCGAACAAGUACCGUGAGGGAAAGAUGAAAAGAACUUUGAAAAGAGAGUUAAAAAGUACGUGAAAUUGUUGAAAGGGAACCGUUUGAAGCCAGUCUUGUUUUUUUGUGAUCAGUCUCAGCUUUGGCUGGGAUGCACUCUCAAUUUUACAGGUCAACGUCAGUUUGAGAAGUGGGAAAAAAAUUUGAGGAAUGUGGCCUUCGGGUGUUAUAGCCUCUUAUUAAAUACCAUUUCUUGGACUGAGGCUCGCAGCAAAAAUCUUGGCAGACUUGCUUCUGAGGUGAACCAUUACUAAGACAGCUUGCUGACUUAGUUUUGUCUAGCUUCACAGUAAGUUUCGCUUCUA